rnacentral:rRNA from 1 species
AGCCGCAUUUGUGCUAAGGUAGCAUAAUCACUUGUCUUUUAAAUGAGGACUAGAACAAAAGAUUUAACAUUUUAAUUUAUUUCUAUAAUAUUAAUUUUAAACUUAUUUUAAAUGUAAAAAAACAUUUAUACAAAAGAAAGACGACAAGACCCUAUUGAACUUUACUUCAGUUUUACUGGGGCAGUGAAUUAAUUAUUAUUUUAAUAUAAUUUUAUAAAUAAAUAUCCAAUCUAUUUGAUUAAACAAGUUACCAUAGGGAUAACAGCGUAAUAAAAUUUAAGAGACCUUAUCUAAAAAUUAGAUUGCGACCUCGAUGUUGAAUUAUUAUCCUAAUAUAAGCAAAAGUUUAUAAAGGAAGUCUGUUCGACUUUUAAAAAAUUACAUGAUUUGAGUUCAGACCGGUGUAAGCCAGGUCGGAUUCUAUCUUCUAAAUAGUUUUUUACAGUACGAAAGGACCUAAAAAUAUAAUUAAAUUAAUUAAUUGGCAGAAAAAUGCAUUAGAAUUAGAAUCUAAAUAAACUUAA